GAUGAACGCUGGCGGCGUGCUUAACACAUGCAAGUCGAACGGAAAGGCCCAAGCUUGCUUGGGUACUCGAGUGGCGAACGGGUGAGUAACACGUGGGUGAUCUGCCCUGCACUUCGGGAUAAGCCUGGGAAACUGGGUCUAAUACCGGAUAGGACCACAUUUUGGAUGGUGUGGUGGAAAGUUUUUCGGUGUGGGAUGAGCUCGCGGCCUAUCAGCUUGUUGGUGGGGUAAUGGCCUACCAAGGCGUCGACGGGUAGCCGGCCUGAGAGGGUGUACGGCCACAUUGGGACUGAGAUACGGCCCAGACUCCUACGGGAGGCAGCAGUGGGGAAUAUUGCACAAUGGGCGCAAGCCUGAUGCAGCGACGCCGCGUGGGGGAUGAAGGCCUUCGGGUUGUAAACUCCUUUCGCUAGGGACGAAGCGUUUUUGUGACGGUACCUGGAGAAGAAGCACCGGCUAACUACGUG
rnacentral:rRNA from 1 species